rnacentral:rRNA from 1 species
UACGUAGGGCGCAAGCGUUGUCCGGAAUUAUUGGGCGUAAAGAGCUCGUAGGCGGCUUGUCACGUCGGAUGUGAAAGCCCGAGGCUUAACCUCGGGUCUGCAUUCGAUACGGGCUAGCUAGAGUGUGGUAGGGGGAGAUCGGAAUUCCUGGUGUAGCGGUGAAAAUGCGCAGAUAUCAGGAGGAACACCGGUGGCGAAGGCGGAUCUCUGGGCCAUUACUGACGCUGAGGAGCGAAAGCGUGGGGAGCAACAGG